rnacentral:rRNA from 1 species
AUUGAACGCUGGCGGCAGGCCUAACACAUGCAAGUCGAGCGGAUGAAGGGAGCUUGCUCCUGGAUUCAGCGUCGGACGGGUGAGUAAUGCCUAUGAAUCUGCCUGGUAGUGGGGGAUAACGUCCUGAAACGGGCGCUAAUACCGCAUACGUCCUGAGGGAGAAAGUGGGGGACCUUCGGACCUCACGCUAUCAGAUGAGCCUAGGUCGGAUUAGCUAGUUGGUGGGGUAAAGGCCUACCAAGGCGACGAUCCGUAACUGGUCUGAGAGGAUGGUCAGUCACACUGGAACUGGGACACGGUCCAGACUCCUACGGGAGGCAGCAGUGGGGAAUAUUGGACAAUGGGCGAAAGCCUGAUCCAGCCAUGCCGCGUGUGUGAAGAAGGUCUUCGGAUUGUAAAGCACUUUAAGUUGGGAGGAAGGGCGGUAAGUUAAUACCUUGCUGUUUUGACGUUAACAACAGAAUAAGCACCGGCUAACUUCGUG